GGGCACUGGGGUGUCAGUGGGCAGAGUGGGAGUACAGGUGGAGUUCUCCUCUGUUCCCUCGGUGCCAGCGAGGGAUGCUGAGAAGGUUGGGAGAACUCAUCUGAUAAAUGCGUGGCUGAGAGGUCGGUGCCACGGCAGGAAUUCCUGUUUUUUCUGACCACGGGGCGGGGUACUCUGUGCUGGGCUGAUGGCUGCAGGUGGAUCCCAGCUGCGUGAAAGGGGAAGUGGAUCUCAGACCAGGAGCUGGAGAGGCGACAGUCUGUGUAGGAUGCCCCGGCUGGGGAUGUGUGCAGUGCUCUGUGUGUGUCACCAUUAGGUGCCCUCAGUACCACCACCCAGUUGGAGGCCACAAAUACCACAUGAGGAGACAACACCACAGCAUUCUGUCCACAAGAGGAACUGACAAGAGCUCUCCGGCCACUUUCUUUCUCCACUGCAGUCGCGCUGUCCCCAAGCUGCUCCUGCCUCAUGGCACCAAUGACGGUGGCCCUCUUCCUUGGUUGGUGGCUGGUGACAGCAAGCGAGGCACAGAAAUCCAGGGGGUGUCCAUGGGGGACAAUGUCACCCCUGCGCUGCCACCUGCCCCGCAUGGCUACCUGGGUCCAGCUCUGGCACAAUGGAACUCUGAGAUUUAACGAGGAAAAGACAAGGAGCAGGAUACAGCUGAGUUCUCCUUUGCUGUCACAAACCUGGAGGACGCCGGGACAUAUCAGUGUCGGUACCAGGUGUCAGAGCCUCUGAGGACAUCCAAAAAGAGUGACCCCGUGGAGCUGGUGCUGACAGGUGAGGGCACUGUGGACACCGGCUGGCCCCUGAGCUUUUCCCACACCGGCCAAGUCCCAUCCUUCCCCUCCCUGCACACAGACUGCAGCUUCCUUCAGCUCAGCAUUUCCCUGAGCCCAGGCACAUGUGGGAAUGGGGACUGAUGUCACCACCCAGUGCUGCAAUGGGGGUUGUGGUGCCACAUUCCUCCUGCACAGAGAUGAAUGCUCAGCUCGUAUUCUGUGCCAGGAUCCCACUGGUGGGC
rnacentral:lncRNA from 7 species